UGGGGAAUAUUGGACAAUGGGCGAAAGCCUGAUCCAGCCAUGCCGCGUGUGUGAAGAAGGUCUUCGGAUUGUAAAGCACUUUAAGUUGGGAGGAAGGGCAGUAAGCGAAUACCUUGCUGUUUUGACGUUACCGACAGAAUAAGCACCGGCUAACUCUGUGCCAGCAGCCGCGGUACUACAGAGGGUGCAAGCGUUAGUCGGAAUUACUGGGCGUAAAGCGCGCGUAGGUGGUUCGUUAAGUUGAAUGUGAAAGCCCCGGGCUCAACCUGGGAACUGCAUCCAAAACUGGCGAGCUAGAGUAGGGCAGAGGGUGGUGGAAUUUCCUGUGUAGCGGUGAAAGGCGUAGAUAUAGGAAGGGACACCAGUGGGGAAGGCGACCACCUGGGCUCAUACUGACACUGAGGUGCGAAAGAGAGGGGAGCAAACAGG
rnacentral:rRNA from 1 species